CACUAUACGGUGAAACUGCGAAUGGCUCAUUAAAUCAGUUAUCGUUUAUUUGAUAGUACUUCACUACAUGGACAACUGUGGUAAUUCUAGAGCUAAUACAUGCUAAAAACCCCGACUUCGGAAGGGGUGUAUUUAUUAGAUAAAAAACCAAUGCCCUCCGGGGCUCCUUGGUGAAUCAUAAUAACUUCACGAAUCGCAUGGCCUUGCGCCGGCGAUGGUUCAUUCAAAUUUCUGCCCUAUCAACUUUCGAUGGUAGGAUAGUGGCCUACCAUGGUUUCAACGGGUAACGGGGAAUUAGGGUUCGACUCCGGAGAGGGAGCCUGAGAAACGGCUACCACAUCCAAGGAAGGCAGCAGGCGCGCAAAUUACCCAAUCCCGACACGGGGAGGUAGUGACAAUAAAUACUGAUACAGGGCUCUUUCGGGUCUUGUAAUUGGAAUGAGUACAAUUUAAAUCCCUUAACGAGGAACAAUUGGAGGGCAAGUCUGGUGCCAGCAGCCGCGGUAAUUCCAGCUCCAAUAGCGUAUAUUAAAGUUGUUGCAGUUAAAAAGCUCGUAGUUGAACCUUGGGCCUGGCUGGCCGGUCCGCCUCACCGCGUGUACUGGUCCGGCCGGGCCUUUCCUUCUGGGGAGCCGCAUGGCCUUCACUGGCCGUGCCGGGGAACCAGGACUUUUACUUUGAAAAAAUUAGAGUGUUCAAAGCAGGCCUUUGCUCGAAUACAUUAGCAUGGAAUAAUAGAAUAGGACGCGCGGUUCUAUUUUGUUGGUUUCUAGGACCGCCGUAAUGAUUAAUAGGGACAGUCGGGGGCAUCCGUAUUCAAUUGUCAGAGGUGAAAUUCUUGGAUUUAUUGAAGACGAACUACUGCGAAAGCAUUUGCCAAGGAUGUUUUCAUUAAUCAGUGAACGAAAGUUAGGGGAUCGAAGACGAUCAGAUACCGUCGUAGUCUUAACCAUAAACUAUGCCGACUAGGGAUCGGUGGGUGUUAUUAUUUUGACCCCAUCGGCACCUUACGAGAAAUCAAAG
rnacentral:rRNA from 1 species